UUCAAAGACAUUCAACUGAUAAGGCUCCUUUAUUUAUCUGUCGCCGUUAUGUGAACCCCACCGGCCUAAGUGUGCAUGAAGAAGAGAAGGCGGAAGCGAUGCUAUAGUGCGCGAGGCAUUUGGCUAAUCACAGCCACUAUAAGCGCCUUUCAAGACGGAUUUCUCUUAAACGAUCUUAUCAACUUUAAAGGGAUGCUGCGGAAUGAGAGCAUCGUGGGAGGAAGGCUCAGAGCGAACCUGCGGGUGGUGAAACACGAAUGGAGCUGCUUCCCGCAGAUGAGAGAGGCAAGCAGCGCGAUCCUCCCGACGUCCUUGACCGGGUUUCCGGUGCGCUGCUCCAUGCCCGCAAG